UAGUCCGCGCCGUAAACGAUGGAUACUAGCUGCUUGAGAAACUAAUCUCUUGAGUGGCGAAGCUAACGCAUUAAGUAUCCCGCCUGGGGAGUACACUGGCAACGGUGAAACUCAAAGGAAUUGACGGGGGCCCGCACAAGCGGUGGAGUAUGUGGUUUAAUUCGAAGCAACGCGCAGAACCUUACCUGGCCUUGACAUCCUGAGACAACCCUAGAGAUAGGGCUUCCACUUCGGUGGCUCAGUGACAGAUGCUGCAUGGCUGUCGUCAGCUCGUGUCGUGAAAUGAUCGGUUAAGUCCGGCAACGAGCGCAACCCACAUCUUUAGUUGCCAGCAGUUCGGCUGGGCACUCUAAAGAAACUGCCCGUGAUAAGCGGGAGGAAGGUGUGGAUGACGUCAAGUCCUCAUGGCCCUUACGGGUUGGGCUACACACGUGCUACAAUGGCAGUGACAAUGGGUUAAUCCCCAAAAACUGUCUCAGUUCGGAUUGGGGU
rnacentral:rRNA from 1 species